rnacentral:lncRNA from 1 species
CCCACUUCUCCCACACCUUGGCCGCCGCCCCCCUGCCCAUCUCCUCCUCUCUCAAUUCUUGCAGCCACACCACCAAAACCCUAGCCGCCCCCCUCCCAAUCUCCUCCUCCCAAGGUGCCAAUCCUUGCCGCUCGGAUCAUCGUCACGUGGUGCGAGUCUUCAAUCGUUUUGGUGGAGGGAAGAAGGGAGGAAGGAAAGGGGGAGAAUCCAAGGUGAUUUUUGUGUUCAUCCCUUGUUCAUUUGCGCUGCAAUUCAAUUGAUUAGAGGUUGCGUUUGCGAUUGGGUAGAGGGGGCUUUCCAGAAUUUUAGGUGGUGGAUGAACAGCAGUAGUUCUAGCAGUUUCUGUGUUUUUUUCGUGAGAAAUUAAGGGAAACCAGUUUGGGGAUCAUGCAGAACUUUGUCUUACCUUUCCAACGAGUAUUUAUGCGCUCAAUUUGGAGUUAUAAAUUGAAAGUUAUCACCGUUUGAAUCCGGGUAUGUGGCUGUCCAAAAAAACAGAUUUUCAGGGGGAUGAACAGCAGCAGUAUUAGCAGUUUCUGGGGAUUUUUCGGGAGUAAUUAGGGUUAAUCAGUAUAAGAAUCAUGAAGGGCUCUUUCUUAUCUUUCCAACAAGUACUUAUGCGCUUGAUUCGGAAUUAUAUUUUAAAAGUUAUCGUUGUUUGAAUUCGAGUAUGUCGCUGCCCAAAACAGGAAAAAACAGAUUGCAGGGUUUAUUUUGUGGACCGUUUAGGGGUAAUUAGAUGUUAGAAUUUAAUCAUAAAUUGUAUACAAAACUUGUGGGGAAUUUUAUGUAGUUGCCUCUGGAGUUUUUGUUUGACUCCACUGCUGUCUUAAUUUUAAAGUUAUGGAAUUGUUAAGCAGCGCCGCUGCCGUUUGGUUGGUGUGGGGAGAAUUGUUACCCGCGGCGGGGUUUGAGAUUGCGCGUAGGUGCGGCGUUGUUUUGAGUUUUUUAUGUGAAUUUGGUGCACUAAGUUGGGUGUCAAAAACAGGUGGUGGACUCCCAGAUCAUUCUUAGGGAUUUGCCCAAACUUCCGGUGAAGGCAAGUAAAACUGUGAUGGUUAUUCCGUCUGUCAGAUGAGGAGUCUUAUACUUGAUUAUGUUGUGCUAUUGUGUUCAUAUUCAUAUUUUCUUUUGAGUACCAUCAUUUGAAAAUGUUCAUGUUUCAUGGAUUUCAUAUGUUGAAUUUGAGGUUUGAUUAUGUUACUCAAGUGGUUAUUAUGUGGAAUCGGUGGAAGUAAAUGUCUAGCACAUUUUUAUUUGGGAAGAACUCAUGAUGUCGUCAUGCAUAAUGCACUCAUCAUCCAUUGCAUUGAAGUUUCGUCGCGAUCUUAUGGUCCGACCGUACCGGUACAUUGAGCAUCAUAUGUUGCCCGAGAAGGGGUAUGGUGCAGCUUCAUAUCCUUAGAGAUAUGGAGGCAGAAGUCAUUAUUGCAUUUGUAGCCAUGUGCAUUCAUGGGAGAGGUGUGGAAUCUAUUAUGUGGAUGUGGAUAAUUUAGACUUGUGCAUGGUGAUUCUACUUGGCGUUGAGUUUUUAGUUACUUGUUUACUUGCUGCAAUUUAAUGUUCAAAAGAAAAGAAAGAAGUUCUGAACACGUGGUUGUGUAAGCACAGUUGAUUUACAAUGUCCUAUUUGUUGUUGUUAUGUUUACUUGCUGAGAUGUGUUAUCUCACAUCUUGCAUUGUUUGAUGCAGGCACCUAAUUUCUGCUUUGGGAAUAGAGGGAUGUAGCAGCACGGCCACUACACCUUUAAUAAAGGAACCACCAUUUAAUAAUGUUGUUAAUCAGAGUUGGUCAAGUCUAGUGAAUUGCUUUGUUCUUGGUUGAGCGUUUAUUUUGGGGUGGGCUGAGUUUCUUAUCCCAUUUGUUUUACUUCAGUUGGGGCCUAAAUGAGCUUUACCACUUUGCAUCUAGUUUCUACUAUGUGAAUGAUAUGUCUUUAUAUCCUGUAUGAACUUCAUGUUUUCCCCUCCUUGUUAUGUUAGUUUCAAAGGAGGUGCUGCCGGAUUUUGCUAUAUUUUCUUUCUUUAUUACGCCUCUUGUGUGGAGUAAGUUAGGUGGGUGGGGGUUUUUGGUGAUAUCCAUUGUGUGUGACCAGUGGGGUGUUACAGUUGGUAUCAGAGGAAUAGGCUGUAGAUCCUAGCAAGUGAAGUAAUAAUAAAUUGACACACUGCACAUGUAGGAUGGGAUUUCUGGCUUGCUAUUGAUAUGUUCUGUUAUUGUAUGUGCUAGUUUGGCAUUAUCUGAAGAGAUGUUAUGCCAAUCUUAUUUACUUAUUAUUCUCAUCCCUGUGGCUGCAGCUAUGCCGCCUCGUAGGGCUCGAGGUAGUCCGCAAGCUCCUAGUGGGGACUCGAUGAGUCCGGCGGCAAUGUUAGCCGCGAUGCAGGCCAUGCAGCAGGAGUUGGCCCUUCUGAGGCAAGCCAUUCCUGUCGCCCCUGCAGGUGCUGCUCAGGGUGCUGGAGGUGGAGAAGUGCCCGGGGGCGCUGUCCCUGCGGGUGCUGUUCCAGGUGGCGGGGCCGAGGUGCCUCUUUCAGUCAGUGGUCUUUCUCUGAUGCAGUGGAUGGGCAUGAAGUUGGAUUCUUUUGAUGGCAGUGGUACUCCGGUCGAGGCGGCAAAUUGGUUGACUUAUGUGGAGGAUAAGAUGAAUGUCUUCGAGAUUGCUUAUGGAGAUCGGGUUCGCUUUGGCACUCAGCUGCUGAAGGGAGAGGCUCAGAUUUGGUGGAGAGGCGUGCAGGCAGCGCACUCCUCCUCACCAGGAGUCCUAUCUUGGGAUGUUUUCAUUAGGCAGUUUGAAAGGAGAUUCUACCCGGUCACCUUUCUAGAGAAAACGAAGAUUGACUUGCAGUCCUACAAGCAGGAGAAGAAGUCUGUCACAGAGUAUGAGGUGGGCUUCAACAAGAUGGUCCGCUUUGUCCCUCAUGUGGCUUAUAAUGAGAUGGAGAAGGCGAGCCAGUUCCGUCAGGGUCUGAAGCCUUCUAUCAGGCAUGCACUGGGGGCCUUUCCGUUGGUGGACUUCUGUACCACGGUGGAGUAGACGCUGGGUGUGGAGAUGCAACACCAGUAUACCAUGGAGUCGCAGAAGUCUUCGGGUGUUGAUCAGCCUCGUAGCCAGGACACGAGGAGGGGCAACACUGGAGGUCCAGCUCACAAGAGGGGCAAGUCUCAGCAUCAGCGCCACCAUCCUUACCGUGGCAAAUCUUCUGACUCGGGUACUUCGGGAGGAAGUACUCAGAGGUUUCGGGCCGUUCCUAAGCCCGGGCUGGGGCUGGUGUGUUUCCGCUGUGGAGAUGCGCAUCGCCGUGCAUAGUGCCAGUGGAGUGGCAGGUGUUCUAUCUGCAGUCCGGACCACAAGGAUGUGGUGUGUAGGAGGAAUCCCAAUGGGAAGCUCAGAUGGGAGCCGGUGACUUCCUCCUCUUCUCAGGGCACUAUCAACAUGAUGUCAAGUGCUGAGCAGCAGUUUUCAGUUCCUCUUCCUCCACAGCAGCUUUAUGUGCCUGGGACUUCUCAGUUCGUGCCAAUGCAGGGUUUUCCUCAGUAUCAGGUCGCGCCUACUCCUGCACCGUCUACUCCUAUGCUGUCUCAGUUUGGAGCUCCGCGCCUGCCUCAUCCAGUGGCUCAGUGGGGUUCUUCUGUUAAUUUCACUCCGGGGGCUUCCUCUUCUGCGGGUAUUUCUGGAGCUUAUGUGCUACCCGCUACGGAUGACAGGGAGCAAGGAGACGUGGUGACAGGUACGAUUUCAGUUGAUUCGUUUGCAGCCCAUGCUCUUUUUGACUCUGGCGCUAGCUAUUCGUUUGUUUCGGAGGAUUUUGUGUCGCGGGCUGGUCUUUCGGUGCAGAGGUUGGGUCACCCAAUUUUGGUUAGAUCUGCUAAUGGCUCCAUUAGUAGCUGUUCAGUUUGUCAGGGGUGUUCCGUCAUUCUUGCUGAUGAGGUUUUUUCGGCCAAUCUGGUGGUGAUUUCCUUGGGGGCAUUCGAUGUUAUCUUGGGUAUGGAUUGGUUAUCCCAGUAUCGCGCGGUUAUAUCCUGCUUCUGGAAGACAGUGUUAUUGCAGGCGCCAUCGGGUAAGGAGGUGGUAUUCUUGGGAAGUUCCCCGAAGUUCACAUUAUCCUUGUUGGCGCAAUUGCUUCCUGAUCGCCAGUCAAGGAAGUCGGGGAUCUUUUUCUCCACGGUGGUGGAGGGUGAGGCUGCUUUGCGGGUGCAGGACAUCCGGGUGGUGUGUGACUUUGCUAACGUGUUUCCGGUGGAGCUUCCAGGCAUUCCUCCGGAGCGCGAUGCAGCUUUUGAGAUUAAGCUGAUCCCGGGUACGCAACCUAUUCAUAAGGCCCCGUAUCGAAUGGCCCCAAAGGAGCAGAUUGAAUUAAAGCGGCAAUUGGGUGAUCUGCUGGCUAAGGGCUUCAUUAGGCCUAGCAGGUCUCCAUGGGCUUCCCCGGUAUUGUUUGUUGAGAAGAAGGAUAAAAGCAAGCGGCUGUGUGUGGAUUAUCGCGCUUUGAAUCAAGUGACAAUCAAGAAUAAAUAUCUGCUUCCCCGAAUUGAGGUCCUCUUUGAGCAGUUGAGGGGUGCCGAGGUGUUCUCCAAAAUUGAUUUGAACUCUGGUUAUCAUCAAUUGAUGAUUCGUGAGGAGGAUAUUGAGAAGACCGCCUUCUGCACCAGGUAUGGGCAUUACGAGUUCAUAGUCAUGUCUUUUGGCUUAACUAAUGCCCCUGCUGCCUUUAUGGAAGCAAUGAAUAGGAUGUUGCAUGAAUUCUAGGACGACUUUGUGGUCGUGUUCCUGGAUGAUAUUCUGAUUUAUUCAAAGACCGAGGCCGAGCAUGAGCAGCAUCUCCGUCUCGUUCUGGGUGCCCUAAGGAAGAAUCAAUUCUAUGGCAAGUUGAAGAAGUGUGCCUUUUGGCUAUCCGAAGUGGCUUUCCUGGGGCACGUGAUUAAUCAGCAGGGUAUUGCGGUUGAUCCCAAAAAUGUUGCGGCUGUGGUGGAGUGGAAGAGACCCUCUAGUGUCUCUGAAAUCCGAAGUUUCUUGGGGCUUGCUGGGUAUUAUCGGCGCUUCGUACCAAAUUUUUCCAGCAUUGCUAAGCCUUUGACUAGGCUCCUGGAGAAGGGUGUUCCCUUCGUCUGGUCCGGCGAUUGUGAGGUCAGUUAUCGAUCAUUGAAGAGCAAGUUGGUGGAUGCCCCUAUCCUAGCUUUGCCUGAGAGUGGUAAGCGUUUCACGGUUUAUACGGAUGCUUCGCGUAUUGGUCUUGGCUGUGUGCUGAUGCAGGAAGGCAGAGUGAUUGCUUAUGGCUCAAGGCAGUUGAGGAAGCAUGAGGGAAAUUAUCCAACUCAUGAUCUGGAAUUGGCCGCGGUGGUUUUUGCUCUAAAGUCGUGGAGGCAUUACCUUUAUGGCGAGGCUUGUGACAUUUUCACCGAUCACAAAAGUCUCAAGUAUAUUUUUACUCAGAGGGAGCUGAAUUUGCGGCAGUGUCGGUGGCUAGAAUUGAUUAAAGACUAUGAUUUGUCCAUUCAUUAUCACCCGGGGAAGGCUAAUGUGGUGGCGGAUGCCCUUAGCAGGUCCGGGGUUCCAAAGGUGGCCUUGCCAUUGAUCGCUGAUCUGGACCGUUUGGGGAUCGCUUUGUGUUAUGUCGGCAGCGCUAGCGAGGAGACUCAGAUGCUUAUUCAAUCCUCUCUCAUGGAGAGGGUGCGUGCGGCUCAGCAGCAUGAUCGUCUUUUGCAGGAAGCUCGAAAGAGGGCUGGUGACGGUAAAUCGCGGGAGUUCACCAUUGACGAGAAUGAUUUGGUUCGUUUCAGGGGCCGCCUCUGUGUGCCUCAGAAAUCAGAGGUGAAGAUGGAUAUCUUGAGAGAAGCUCAUAAAACGCCUUACACCGUCCAUCCUGGCGAAACCAAAAUGUACCGAGAUUUGAAGCAAAACUUCUAGUGGAAGCGGAUGAAGGUUGACGUUUCUAAGUAUGUGGCCGCCUGUGAAGUAUGUCAGCGCGUGAAGGCCGAGCAUAAGCGACCUGCAGGAUUGCUGAAGCCAUUAGAAAUUCCAGAGUGGAAAUGGGAGCAUAUCACCAUGGAUUUUUGGUGGGUGUACCUCGUUCCCCUCGUGGCAGGGAUGCUAUUUGGGUGGUAGUGGAUCGCUUGACUAAGUCUGCGCAUUUUAUUCCCAUGAAGACCACAAAUUCAGCUUCAGAUUUGGUUCCCCUUGUAUAUGAAGGAAGUAGUCAGGCUUCACGGGGUACCUAAGCCUAUUGUUUCUGAUCGAGACUCCAAAUUUGUAUCCAAAUUCUGGGAGAGUCUCCAUAGUGCUUUGGGCACCAAGCUUUCGCUUAGUGUCGCUUUUCACCCUCAGACGGAUGGUCAGUCAGAGCGAACAAUCCAAACCUUGGAAGAUAUGUUGUGUGCUUGUGUUCUAUCAUGGAAGGGUAGCUCGGAGGAUCAUCUUGCACUGACAGAGUUUGCUUAUAACAACAGCUACCAGGCUAGCAUCAAGAUGGCACCAUUUGAGGCUUUGUAUGGCAGGCGGUGUAUCUCUCCUCUGUGCUGGGAGACUUUGGGAGAGAGAUCCCUGGUUGGUCCUGAUUGGGUUCAGCAAACUUCUGAAAAGGUUCGGGAAAUUCGUCAGAAUAUUUUGGCAGCUCAGAGUCGUCAGAAGAGUUAUGCUGAUGUGAGGAGGCGGGAUCUGGAAUUUGCUGUGGGUGACCAAGUCCUUCUCAGGGUAUCACCCACUAAGGGAGUUGUUCGGUUCGGUGUCUCUGGGAAGCUCAGCCCGAGAUACAUUGGACCGUUCACUAUCUUGGCCCGAGUGGGCAGCCUGGCUUAUCGCUUGCUACUACCGGAUUCCAUGGCAGGAGUACACCCGGUUUUUCAUGUCUCUAUGUUGAGGAAGUUCUUGCGGGAUCCGGAUCAUCAGAUUGAGAUGGAACCAAUUGCAGUGCAGCAGGAUCUGACUCUGGAGUGUCGUCCGGUGCGUAUAUUGGAAUUCUCGGAGCGUGUGUUGAGGAAGAGAUCAAUUAAGUAUGACAAGGUCUUAUGGACUAAUAAGUCUGAGCGCGAGGCUACGUGGGAACUUGAGGAGCUGAUGCGGCAGAAGUACCCAGAACUUUUCGUUGUGGGUAAGUGUUGUUGAUUCAUUAAUCUUUUCUUUUGUCAUUCCGAUAUAAGCGUCAUAAUUCGAGGUCGAAUUCUUUUUAAGAGGGGUAGAGUGUGAUACCCGGUUUGCAAAGAAGAGAAGUUGGGGGGUUGUUCUUUUUGUUUUUUCCCUCAUCCGGUUGUUGUUUUGGGGAUUUGGAAUUUUGUGGAAAACAUUCACAACUAGGGUAGUAGAAUUUAUUUGGUUUGACGCUUGCGUUUCGGUCGGGAGCUGUCGCGUGGGUUAGUUGGGCCGCAAUUGGUGUUUCGGCCCAUUAAUCCUCCCAAACCCUAGCCGCCUCCCACCUAACCCCCUCCCCCCUUGUGCAGCCGCCCCCCCACUUCUCCCACACCUUGGCCGCCGCCCCCUGCCCAUCUCCUCCUCUCUCAAUUCUUGCAGCCACACCACCAAAACCCUAGCCGCCCCCCCCAAUCUCCUCCUCCCAAGGUGCCAAUCCUUGCCGCUCGGAUCAUCGUCACGUGGUGCGAGUCUUCAAUCGUUUUGGUGGAGGGAAGAAGGGAGGAAGGAAAGGGGGAGAAUCCAAGGUGAUUUUUGUGUUCAUCCCUUGUUCAUUUGCGCUGCAAUUCAAUUGAUUAGAGGUUGCGUUUGCGAUUGGGUAGAGGGGGCUGUCCAGAAUUUUAGGUGGUGGAUGAACAGCAGUAGUUCUAGCAGUUUCUGUGUUUUUUUCGUGAGAAAUUAAGGGAAACCAGUUUGGGGAUCAUGCAGAACUUUGCCUUACCUUUCCAACGAGUAUUUAUGUGCUCAAUUUGGAGUUAUAAAUUGAAAGUUAUCACCGUUUGAAUCCGGGUAUGUGGCUGUCCAAAAAAAACAGAUUUUCAGGGGGAUGAACAGCAGCAGUAUUAGCAGUUUCUGGGGAUUUUUCGGGAGUAAUUUGGGUUAAUCAGUAUAAGAAUCAUGAAGGGCUCUUUCUUAUCUUUCCAACAAGUACUUAUGCGCUUGAUUCAGAAUUAUAUUUUAAAAGUUAUCGCUGUUUGAAUCCGAGUAUGUCGCUGCCCAAAACAGGAAAAAACAGAUUGCAGGGUUUAUUUUGUGGACCGUUUAGGGGUAAUUAGAUGUUAGAAUUUAAUCAUAAAUUGUAUACAAAACUUGUGGGGAAUUUUAUGUAGUUGCCUCUGGAGUUUUUGUUUGACUCCACUGCUGUCUUAAUUUUAAAGUUAUGGAAUUGUUAAGCAGCGCCGCUGCCGUUUGGUUGGUGUGGGGAGAAUUGUUACCCGCGGCGGGGUUUGAGAUUGCGCGUAGGUGCGGCGUUGUUUUGAGUUUUUUUAUGUCAAUUUGGUGCACUAAGUUGGGUGUCAAAAACAGGUGGUGGACUCCCAGAUCGUUCUUAGGGAUUUUCCCAAACUUCCGGUGAAGGCAAGUAAAACUGUGAUGGUUAUUCCGUCUGUCAGAUGAGGAGUCUUAUACUUGAUUAUGUUGUGCUAUUGUGUUCAUAUUCAUAUUUUCUUUUGAGUACCAUCAUUUGAAAAUGUUCAUGUUUCAUGGAUUUCAUAUGUUGAAUUUGAGGUUUGAUUAUGUUACUCAAGUGGUUAUUAUGUGGAAUGGGUGGAAGUAAAUGUCUAGCACAUUUUAUUUGGGAAGAACUCAUGAUGUCGUCAUGCAUAAUGCACUCAUCAUCCAUUGCAUUGAAGUUUCGUCGCGAUCUUAUGGUCCGACCGUACCGGUACAUUGAGCAUCAUAUGUUGCCCGAGAAGGGGUAUGGUGCAGCUUCAUAUCCUUAGAGAUAUGGAGGCAGAAGUCAUUAUUGCAUUUGUAGCCAUGUGCAUUCAUGGGAGAGGUGUGGAAUCUAUUAUGUGGAUGUGGAUAAUUUGGACUUGUGCAUGGUGAUUCUACUUGGCGUUGAGUUUUUAGUUACUUGUAUACUUGCUGCAAUUUACUGUUCAAAAGAAAAGAAAGAAGUUCUGAACACGUGGUUGUGUAAGCACAAUUGAUUUACAAUGUCCUAUUUGUUGUUGUUAUGUUUACUUGCUGAGAUGUGUUAUCUCACAUCUUGCAUUGUUUGAUGCAGGCACCUAAUUUCUGCUUUGGGAAUAGAGGGAUGUAGCAGCACGACCACUACACCUUUAAUAAAGGAACCACCAUUUAAUAAUGUUGUUAAUCAGAGUUGGUCAAGUCUAGUGAAUUGCUUUGUUCUUGGUUGAGCGUUUAUUUUGGGGUGGGCUGAGUUUCUUAUCCCAUUUUUUUUACUUCAGUUGGGGCAUAAAUGAGCUUUACCACUUUGCAUCUAGUUUCUACUAUGUGAAUGAUAUGUCUUUAUAUCCUGUAUGAACUUCAUGUUUUCCCCUCCUUGUUAUGUUAGUUUCAAAGGAGGUGCUGCCGGAUUUUGCUAUAUUUUCUUUCUUUAUUACGCCUCUUGUGUGGAGUAAGUUAGGUGG